AUUCUCUUCAAAUAAUUUUAUGCAACCAAUCCAAGCGCAUAUCUAACUAAGCAAAGGGGUGAAUCCAAUCCUGUUCUCUAACCUUCCUUCGCGAUGACCUUAGCCAACCGCUCAUCAUUCCACCAAGCACGUAUUGCUCGGCUGAUUUGCAUAAGACCGGAAUGCUGAAGAUGAAACCACAUUCUUCGUGCCACUUAAUAGCAAUGAAAGAACGUCUAAUCGUUCUAUUCGGUAGACGUCUUUGACUGUCUCGACUACUAUUUUGCGAUGUUUGGAAUUGUAUGGUAAUCGCACGUUCAAAAUAGCGCUACUCAUCGCCAUGUUCACUCUUUUUAUCGAUGAAAUCAAUUUCAAUUGAUGAACAAUCAUAGCACAUUAUUGCCAUUUCAUUCUGUUCGCGUUAUCGCAAAGACACAAGAAUUUCUUCUCUGAUGGAUGCUAAAGGGUUAAUAGUUGAUGAUUGUCCAACGAAGAAAACGUUCUUUCACGCGAGGUCAAAGAAGAAAAGGGGGCAGUAAAGAUCAAGGAGCUCCAUUAAAUUCGAAGCAGAUGCAUAUAAAAGAAAUAUGCCCAUUUCAUAAAUUACAUGAUAAUAUAAACCGAAAUUACUGAUUCAACCUUAUAUAAUCGUAAAUUUGAUGGGCCAAAAAUGUAAGUCUGAAAGAAGAUAAAUCCAAAGAAGAAUUCUUGAAUUCUUUUGCCAACCUUCUUUUAUAACCAUUCAAAUCAAAUAUUGAUAGACUUUUGAAUUCUAUAUUAAACUAAUAAAAUGAGUAUGAAGAAUAGAUAAU
rnacentral:lncRNA from 1 species